UAAUGAUGACAGAGAGGCCACACCCGUUCCCAUACCGAACACGGAAGUUAAGCUCUCUAGCGCCGAUGGUAGUUGGGACCUUGUCCCUGUGAGAGUAGGACGUUGCCAGGC
rnacentral:rRNA from 1 species